UACGUAGGGUGCGAGCGUUGUCCGGAAUUAUUGGGCGUAAAGAGCUCGUAGGCGGUUUGUUGCGUCGGCCGUGAAAACCUGCAGCUUAACUGUGGGCCUGCGGCCGAUACGGGCAGACUUGAGUUCGGUAGGGGAGACUGGAAUUCCUGGUGUAGCGGUGAAAUGCGCAGAUAUCCGGAGGAACACCGGUGGCGAAGGCGGCUUCCUGGACCGACACUGACGCUGAGGCGCGAAAGCUAGGGGAGCAAACGGG
rnacentral:rRNA from 1 species